rnacentral:rRNA from 1 species
CCUACGGGUGGCAGCAGUGGGGAAUAUUGGGCAAUGGAGGCAACUCUGACCCAGCAACGCCGCGUGAAUGAUGAAGGUCUUCUGAUUGUAAAGUUCUGUGCUGGGGGAUGAACACAAUGACGGUACCCCAAUAGCAAGCCACGGCUAACUACGUGCCAGCAGCCGCGGUAAUACGUAGGUGGCAAGCGUUAUCCGGAUUUAUUGGGUUUAAAGGGUGCGUAGGCGGAAUAUCAAGUCAGCGGUAAAAAUUCGGGGCUCAACCCCGUCGUGCCGUUGAAACUGAUGUUAUUGAGUGGGCGAGAAGUAUGCGGAAUGCGUGGUGUAGCGGUGAAAUGCAUAGAUAUCACGCAGAACUCCGGUUGCGAAGGCAGCAUACCGGGGCCCAACUGACGCUGAAGCACGAAAGCGUGGGUAGCGAACAGGAUUAGAUACCCCUGUAGUC